ACCAGGACUAAACCAGGACUAAACCGGGACUAAACCGGGACUAAACCGGGACUAAACCAGGACUAAACCAGGACUAAACCAGGACUAAACCAGGUCUAAACCAGGACUAAACCAGGACUAAACCGGGACUAAACCGGGACUAAACCAGGACUAAACCAGGACUAAACCGGGACUAAACCGGGACUAAACCGGGACUAAACCGGGACUAAACCGGGACUAAACCGGGACUAAACCGGGACUAAACCAGGACUAAACCAGGACUAAACCAGGUCUAAACCAGGACUGAACCAGGACUGAACCAGGAC
ensembl:lncRNA